GACGAACGCUGGCGGCGUGCUUAACACAUGCAAGUCGAACGGUGAUCUUGGGAGCUUGCUCCUGGGUGAUCAGUGGCGAACGGGUGAGUAACACGUGAGUAACCUGCCCCUGACUCUGGAAUAACUUCGGGAAACCGAAGCUAAUACCGGAUAUGACCCAGAGCCGCAUGGUUUCUGUGUGGAAAGUUUUUUCGGUUGGGGAGGGACUCGCGGCCUAUCAGCUUGUUGGUGAGGUAAUGGCUCACCAAGGCGACGACGGGUAGCAGGCCUGAGAGGGCGACCGGCCACACUGGGACUGAGACACGGCCCAGACUCCUACGGGAGGCAGCAGUGGGGAAUAUUGCACAAUGGGCGAAAGCCUGAUGCAGCGACGCCGCGUGAGGGAUGAAGGCCUUCGGGUUGUAAACCUCUUUCAGUAGGGAAGAAGCGCAAGUGACGGUACCUACAGAAGAAGCACCGGCUAACUACGUGCCAGCAGCCGCAGUAACAC
rnacentral:rRNA from 1 species